UGUUAUAACCCUUGUCCAGCUGAAAAAUAUUGGACUUCAAUGUGUUCAAUCGGUUCUUCCUCAAGUAUAUACUUUGGAUCAUCAAUGUUGUUCCAGGGAAUAAAGCUGUUGCUGUGGAUAUCAGCUCUCAGAAGUAUGUUCUCAGAUGUAGUGGGUGAAGUUCUUGUUGUUAUGUUGUGUUGAGGGUUUUAGGUACCUGAAGUGUAUUCCAGAUCUGAGUACUGAUGGGAUGGAUAUAGUAGGAUGCUCGGACCCUCAUGUACUCAGACUUCAAUACUCCUUCCAGGUGUUUCAAUUGCUAAUAUCUCACAUGACCCUCCCUUUUUUAUGCUCUGAGUAUCUCACAUGGAGUCCUUUUUUAUGGCUGACCAAGAUUAGGCUAGGAAAUUUCUUUCCUAUUUUUGUUUGUUUUCCGGUUGUAAAUAUUUGCAUGUGCCUAAUGUAAUAUGGAAACUGUAGCCUAUUCAGCCUGUAUAAUCUCUUAUUGCUCUGACUCAUAUGUAUGGACUCUGUAGCUUAUCACUGUUCAGUAUUUUCUUGCCAUUUACUUCCAACUGCUGAAAAUGUGAAAUUGUGAAGUCCCCUUUGUCU